rnacentral:lncRNA from 1 species
GCCGCUCUGCGGGGGUGUACCAUCUUUGUUCCAUCUUGAGGGCCGCUCUGCGGGGGUGUACCAUCUUAAGGGCCGCUCUGCGGGGGAGUACCACCAAUGUUUCACAAAGUCUUCUCGACGCAGCGCCGCCUCUCUGCUCGGCAGCGCAGCCAUGUGCCUCGACGCAGUGCCGCCUCUCCGCUCGGCAGCGCAGUCAGCGCCACCUCUCUGCUCGGCAGCGCAGCUAGCGCCG